CACUCCUGCGGGAGGCAGCAGUGGGGAAUAUUGGACAAUGGGCGCAAGCCUGAUCCAGCCAUGCCGCGUGAGUGAUGAAGGCCCUAGGGUUGUAAAGCUCUUUCACCGGUGAAGAUAAUGACGGUAACCGGAGAAGAAGCCCCGGCUAACUUCGUGCCAGCAGCCGCGGUAAUACGAAGGGGGCUAGCGUUGUUCGGAUUUACUGGGCGUAAAGCGCACGUAGGCGGACUAUUAAGUCAGGGGUGAAAUCCCGGGGCUCAACCCCGGAACUGCCUUUGAUACUGGUAGUCUUGAGUUCGAGAGAGGUGAGUGGAAUUCCGAGUGUAGAGGUGAAAUUCGUAGAUAUUCGGAGGAACACCAGUGGCGAAGGCGGCUCACUGGCUCGACACUGACGCUGAGGUGCGAAAGCGUGGGGAGCAAACAGGAUUAGAAACCCGAGUAGUCCCA
rnacentral:rRNA from 1 species